rnacentral:rRNA from 1 species
UACGUAGGUGGCAAGCGUUGUCCGGAUUUAUUGGGUUUAAAGGGUGCGUAGGCGGUGUCCUAAGUCAGUUGUGAAAUACGGCAGCUUAACUGUCGAGGUGCAAUUGAUACUGGGAUACUUGAGUACUGAUGAGGUAUGCGGAAUGGACGGUGUAGCGGUGAAAUGCUUAGAUAUCGUCCAGAACACCGAUAGCGAAGGCAGCAUACUAAGGAGUAACUGACGCUGAGGCGCGAAAGCGUGGGGAGCAAACAGG